rnacentral:miRNA from 1 species
GCGUGAAGGGAGUCAAGCAGG